UUCUAAUUGGACGAUGACUGACACGUGUUAUAUUCUGAUUGGAUAUUGACUCUAUGGAUGAUGAAAUAUAUUGUUGUUAUCAUUAGCUAAUUAGAACAUGAUACAUGACAGUCAUUAUUC
rfam:Glycine soja cultivar W05 C25767546_1, whole genome shotgun sequence.